rnacentral:rRNA from 1 species
UACGUAGGGUGCAAGCGUUGUCCGGAAUUAUUGGGCGUAAAGAGCUCGUAGGCGGUUUGUCGCGUCUGCUGUGAAAACUCGGGGCUUAACUCCGGGCCUGCAGUGGGUACGGACAGACUAGAGUGCGGUAGGGGAGACUGGAAUUCCUGGUGUAGCGGUGAAAUGCGCAGAUAUCAGGAGGAACACCGGUGGCGAAGGCGGGUCUCUGGGCCGUAACUGACGCUGAGGAGCGAAAGCGUGGGGAGCGAACAGG